GUCCCAUCUGUAACAACUGAAAAUAAAGUAAAUAAUAACAACAAAGUUAAAAAAAAAAAAAAGAAGAAAUCAUCAGUCAGGUCAUUUUAGCCUGUUGCUAGAUAGUUGCUUGGAAAGAAAAAAAAAAAAAAGAAACUUAAAGAAGUCCAGAUGCCUUUUUUUCUAAGCUCUUUAGAUGACUGCGAACCUUCACAGACACCUCAUCAGUGUCACUCUCAGAGCUACCAGCCCGUUCCUAAAAUCACAAAGCUCUUCAUUGAAAUCAAUGAUAUCACAGCUGGAAUUAAAAGAGUCCUACUCUUCUGCUGAUUCAGCAUCACAUUCAUCUUGUUCUGCAUCCCCACCAUGGACUUCAUUCCUUUCCAAGCCAGCCUUGAGUGUCCUUUAUUCAGCUCAUCCUCUGCUUUACUUUUAGACCUGAUUUUAGCUGCUUUAUCUCUCUUUGAACAAGUUUAUGUGCUUCAAUCUUUUUCUUCUCUCCAUCAUAACAAGACAGUUUCUUCUGACUGAGAAGAUGUUUGAGUGAUUUACUAAUCCAGGGCUGCUUAUUGGGGAAAAUAGUUCCUGUUUUCAAAGUAAUCCCCAUUUUUCCCAGAAAGAAAUACUGAAUCACUGUGACCUGUCAGAGAGAAGUUGUGAAGCUCUGGCCUUAGGUCUCAGCUCUCAGACCUCUAAUCUGAUAGAGCUGGACCUGAGUAACAAUAACCUGAAGGAUUCAGGCGUGAAGCGUCUGUCUGAAGGACUGAAGAGUCCACACUGUACACUGGAAACUCUCAGUCUGUCAGGCUGUCUGAUCACAGAGGAAGGCUGUACUUCUCUGGCCUCAGCUCUGAGCUC